GUAUCCAGGGUGCACCGCCCAUUCCCAGCUUUCAUCAACGAUUCCAGCAAAAGUUUUUCCAACCGGGCCCCCAUCACUUCCCUUCAGGUAUACCUCCCCGCAUGUAAAAUCGAGCGAGGCUCCUGGUCGAAAUCAAUUGCGACUGCUAAUAUCAUUUCUAGUUAUAUGCAAGUGUGAUGAAGGCCCAAAUUGAUAAAUUCCGCAAAUUAGCG